rnacentral:rRNA from 1 species
AUUGAACGCUGGCGGCAGGCCUAACACAUGCAAGUCGAACGAGUGGCGGACGGGUGAGUAAUGUCUGGGAAACCGCCCGAUGGAGGGGGGUAACUAGGGGAAACGGUAGCUAAUACCGCAUACCAUCGGAUGUGCCCAGAUGGGAUUAGAGAGUAGGUGGGGUAGCGGCUCACAGAGGCGACGAUCCCUAGCUGGUCUGAGAGGAUGACCAGCCACACUGGAACUGAGACACGGUCCAGACUCCUACGGGAGGCAGCAGUGGGGAAUAUUGCACAAUGGGCGCAAGCCUGAUGCAGCCAUGCCGCGUGUAUGAAGAAGGCCUUCGGGUUGUAAAGUACUUUCAGCGAGGAGGCGUUACUCGCAGAAGAAGCACCGGCUAACUCCGUGCCAGCAGCCGCGGUAAUUC